UACGGAGGGUGCAAGCGUUAUCCGGAUUUACUGGGUUUAAAGGGUGCGUAGGCGGGCCUUUAAGUCAGUGAUGAAAUCUCCCCGCUCAACGGGGAAACUGCCAUUGAUACUAUUGGUCUUGAAUUUAGUUGAGGUGGGCGGAAUGUGUCGUGUAGCGGUGAAAUGCUUAGAUAUGACACAGAACACCGAUUGCGAAGGCAGCUCGCUAAACUAAUAUUGACGCUGAGGCACGAAAGCGUGGGGAUCAAACAGG
rnacentral:rRNA from 1 species